GACGAACGCUGGCGGCGUGCUUAACACAUGCAAGUCGAACGGAAAGGCCCUGCUUGCCGGGUACUCGAGUGGCGAACGGGUGAGUAACACGUGGGUGAUCUGCCCUGCACUUCGGGAUAAGCCUGGGAAACUGGGUCUAAUACCGGAUAGGAGCCAUUUUUAGUGUGAUGGUUGGAAAGUUUUUUCGGUGUAGGAUGAGCUCGCGGCCUAUCAGCUUGUUGGUGGGGUAAUGGCCUACCAAGGCGGCGACGGGUAGCCGGCCUGAGAGGGUGGACGGCCACAUUGGGACUGAGAGACGGCCCAGACUCCUACGGGAGGCAGCAGUGGGGAAUAUUGCACAAUGGGCGCAAGCCUGAUGCAGCGACGCCGCGUGGGGGAUGACGGCCUUCGGGUUGUAAACUCCUUUCGCUAGGGACGAAGCCUUUUGUGACGGUACCUAGAGAAGAAGCACCGGCUAACUACGUG
rnacentral:rRNA from 1 species